rnacentral:rRNA from 1 species
GACGAACGCUGGCGGCGUGCUUAACACAUGCAAGUCGAACGGAAAGGCCCUGCUUUUGUGGGGUGCUCGAGUGGCGAACGGGUGAGUAACACGUGAGUAACCUGCCCUUGACUUUGUGAUAACUUCAGGAAACUGGGGCUAAUACCGGAUAGGAGCUCCUGCUGCAUGGGGGGGGUUGGAAAGUUUCGGCGGUUGGGGAUGGACUCGGGGCUUAUCAGCUUGUGGGUGGGGUAGUGGCUUACCAAGGCUUGGACGGGUAGCCGGCCUGGGAGGGUGACCGGCCACAUUGGGACUGAGAUACGGCCCAGACUCCUACGGGAGGCAGCAGUGGGGAAUAUUGCACAAUGGGCGGAAGCCUGAUGCAGCAACGCCGCGUGCGGGAUGACGGCCUUCGGGUUGUAAACCGCUUUCGCCUGUGACGAAGCGUGAGUGACGGUAAUGGGUAAAGAAGCACCGGCUAACUACGUG